rnacentral:rRNA from 1 species
UACGGGGGGGGCAAGCGUUGUUCGGAAUUACUGGGCGUAAAGGGCUCGUAGGCGGCCAACUAAGUCAGACGUGAAAUCCCUCGGCUUAACCGGGGAACUGCGUCUGAUACUGGAUGGCUCGAGUUUGGGAGAGGGAUGCGGAAUUCCAGGUGUAGCGGUGAAAUGCGUAGAUAUCUGGAGGAACACCGGUGGCGAAGGCGGCAUCCUGGACCGAGACUGACGCUGAGGAGCGAAAGCCAGGGGAGCAAACGGG